rnacentral:rRNA from 1 species
UUGACCUCAAAUCAGGUGG